UACGGAGGGGACUAGCGUUGUUCGGAAUUACUGGGCGUAAAGCGCACGUAGGCGGCUUGGUAAGUUAGAGGUGAAAGCCUGGAGCUCAACUCCAGAAUUGCCUUUAAGACUGCCGAGCUAGCAGGUGAGAGAGGUGAGUGGAAUUCCGAGUGUAGAGGUGAAAUUCGUAGAUAUUCGGAAGAACACCAGUGGCGAAGGCGGCUCACUGGCUCAUACUGGACGCUGAGGUGCGAAAGCGUGGGGAGCAAACAGG
rnacentral:rRNA from 1 species